rnacentral:misc_RNA from 1 species
UGCAACAAGCUUGGUCUGUUGUGA